rnacentral:rRNA from 1 species
GAUGAACGCUGGCGGCGUGCCUAACACAUGCAAGUCGAGCGAACCCUUCGGGGUGAGCGGCGGACGGGUGAGUAACGCGUGGGUAACCUGCCCUAUACACACGGAUAACGUACCGAAAGGUACGCUAAUACGGGAUAAAGUUGUUGGAUGGCAUCUUCUAACAAUCAAAGCUCUGGCGGUAUAGGAUGGACCCGCGUCUGAUUAGCUAGUUGGUGAGGUAAUGGCUCACCAAGGCGACGAUCAGUAGCCGACCUGAGAGGGUGAUCGGCCACACUGGAACUGAGACACGGUCCAGACGCCUACGGGAGGCAGCAGUGGGGAAUAUUGCACAAUGGGCGAAAGCCUGAUGCAGCAACGCCGCGUGAGCGAUGAAGGUCUUCGGAUCGUAAAGCUCUGUCCUCAAGGAAGAUAAUGACGGUACUUGAGGAGGAAGCCCCGGCUAACUACGUGCCAGCAGCCGCCGCGG